CCUCUGUGUAACCUUCUUGGUUCCCUCCCAGACAAGAAUGGUUCCUCUCUCCUCUGGAUGUCCACUGUGCUUGUGAACUCAUAAAUGUCACGUCAGGCUGCCUCUUGGUGAAUUUUUAAUCAAGAGGGAGAAAUUCAGCUACAAAUAGACCAAGAAUCAAGAGGCCCAAUAUUGAUCGGUCAAAGUGGCACUUACGAACCUGAGGUUGAAGUAGUUUGGAUAAAAGGAUGCUGGGCUUUCGACGGCUCUGGAGCCAUCUUUUCCCAUCAAGGCCAGGCUGCCAUGAACUGCUGUUGUGAAGCAAAUCCUUCUGUUGCAAUCCUUUAUUUUUACUUCCCCCUACUUUGUAAAUCACUUUCUUUCUCUAAAAGAUUAAAGUGUGGUAAAAGCUGCUAAGUGACUAAGAAAUGGACCCUUCUGAGUCAACAGAUCUGCCCCCCAUGCAUCUUUGAGUCAUAGCUGCUAACAUUUCUUGACACAAUCCAGUUUUUCUUUUGAUUUUUUUUUUCUCUCUUGGUAGCAGGGCUUGUAAAACAAUUUCAAAGUGCUUGGGGAUGGGAGAUUUUGCCCUGAUACAUGAGCCACUUUUACCAUUUUGGUGAGCUCCCUGUCAAGUAGCACAUGAAUAUGACAUGGCAUCUUCAUUUCUUGGCACAACCUGGAUAUUCUUUUGCUCCUACUGCCAAGGCAUUUUGGGGGCUAUCAAGAAUGUGUUUAGUGUGCCUCCCAGAGUUCUGGACAGCCAUUACCUGCAGUGACCACCCAUCAUGGUACAGAGAAGAAAGUGUAGAUUCCAAUACGAAUUCUUCCUCUGCUAGCUGGGCUCUUUAGACAAGUCACUUUACCUCUCUGAACCUCAUUUUCUCAUCCAUGAAAUGGAGUGAAAAUAUGAACCCCAGAGGAAUGUUGGAUGAUGAAGAGUGAUAACCUGAGCAUGCUUGGCACUUAAGGAUUUUUCAGUCUGUGCUGAGUGCCACAGGGAACGGCAUUUAGCAAUACCAAGCAGGAGAGCCAGAGAGAGCAGUGCUGAUUCCACACACGACUUGGAAACUGGCUGAGUCUGAUGGCAGGAGAAUGUGUGUUUUUGUGGUGUUAACUGGGAGGAGGAAAGCAGCCGGUGCUCGGGAGCGCCAGAGCAGCUACCUCUCUGGAUACCUGGCACACCAGGGUGCCACGGGGCGGCUCCUGGCUGUUCCCCGCUGUGGGAGAUUUUGCUGCAAGGAGGGCUAAGAAGGAACGGAGAGAGGUUUUGCUUUAGCAAAAUGGUCUCUUGAGAAAUGAGGUGAGCAUGAGUGUGCAGAGGGUUAGGGCUUAGUGCAAGGGAUGAGUGAGGAAGACAUCGUGCCUCAGAGGUCAUCAGGAAAGGGGGUCUCCCAGAGCAGAGCCACUUUAAAUACCCAUGCCUUGACCUCUUAGGCCACUGAAGCCAGAAGCAGCCUAGCACAUAAAGGAGCAGCCAGCAACCACAUAACCAGUAACCACAUAACCAGUCUGGGCAAUAUCUUCUGAUUUAAAACCACUAUUUCCCUCCUUUUUUAAACAAAGACUCCUAGCUUCCCACUCAUUAUCCACUCUCCUUCCUUCCUUACUAAUGAACCCUGAUUUUGUCCUGGGUAGCCAGAUGCCAUGUAAAAUGAUGAGUCUUUCUGGCCUCUCUUGCAAGGAGCAUGGCCCACAGAGGGAACCGAAGUCAUUGGGUGGGGCUCUCGGCAAGCCCUUCCAUACACUGACUCAGUUCUGGAGAACUUCUACUUUGUGCUUCCGCUUUCUUUCUGCCUGGAAUGUGGAUGGAUGCUUAAAUCUGGAGGCAGAUUGGAUGACAAAAUCACAUACUAGAGAUCGUGAAAUAGUGAAACAGACAUUUGGGAGGACACUGAUUCCUGGAUGAUGCCUAUUUCUGGACUUCUGCCACUUGCUAGAAUUUUCUGCAUAUGUGGGAAACUCAGUUCUAGGUUAUUUACCUCUCUUUUAUGUUCCCUAGAUUAGGUAAGACAAGAAAAUCUUGAUACAGCAACAAACAAAUUUCCAAAUCUCAGUAAGGUUAGCCAAUAAAAAUGUUUCAUUUAUAUUAAGCCUAGUGCAGAAAUAACAGAUUGGCAGGCAGGCCUCCUGGGGCCAAGGGCCUGUGCUCCUUCCAUCUGUGUCUCCACUGACCUAGACACUCCACCUCCUCUUUGUGCAGCAGCUGAUGGGAGAAGUGAGUGAGAAUAGCAUACGGGCCACACCUGGAUGAGGUACAGGUCUCUUUCACUGAGAUCUCACUGGCUAGAAUUCAGUCACAUGGUCACAAAGAGAGCUGGAAAAUUUCAUCUGGUUAUGUGCUCAGGAAGAAAUGGAAAUGAGUUUUGCAUAUUUUCCAAACACACCCUUUCAAGGGGAAGAAAGAAAAAAAGAAGGAAAGAAGGAAGGAAGAAAGAAAAGAGGGAAGGCAGGCAGGCAGGGAAGCAAGAGAAAAAAAAAAUAAAAAGGAAAGAUCAUCAAAUGCUUGUUUUCUAGAGAUAAUUAAAGCAUGUUUCCUGGGACACACAAUAUGUCAGUGCAUAGAAAGAAUAGAAUCAUGCCAUCUGAUUCCCAAAUAAAUCUAUGUGUGACCUAGUCUUCCCUUCCUUCAGAAGGGUUUCACUCAAUACCUGCCGUAUUCAAAGCACUGUGGGUACAGCCAGUGGGUGGGAAUGACUCUCUGUGGGAGCUGGUGUGGAUUCACAGUGGAAAAGGCUGUUUUGCUCAAUAACAUUCCUGGCUCAGGAGCUGGAUAAGUCUCACUUAAAUCUGGAUGCUUGUUGUCACUAUCCCUGUGGCUGACCUUGAGCAAGCACUUCCUGUUUCUGAGUGCUGGUUUCUCUGUUUCGUCAUCCGUAAAGUAGAAAUAAUAGCUGCCUACUGGGUCUCUCUGUCUAUCUUUAGAAAAUUAGAGGUAAUAUAGUAAAGACCCAGAGUAGAGGCUCAGCAAAUGUCAUUUUUAUCUGCUUAGCCUUCUCUUUUAAUUGCCUCCUGGCUAUCUAUGAAGCAAAAUUUCAUAGUUUGGUAUACGAGAGAGCUUUAUCUCUAUGGAUCAAACCUACCUUCCCAGCAUCCUCUCCUGCAUUGCCUUCAUUUCCUCUAUAUUUCUGUUUCACCCUUAAGUUCUACUGUUCUCUAAACUUGCCCAACCCUCAUAUUCUCGAUGUCUUUUUACAUGUUGUUCCCUUUGUGGAGUCUUUCAGCCUUGGCACUAAUGUGGAGUCUUUCAGCCUUGGCACUAUUGACAUAUUGGGACAGGCAGUUGUUCAUGGGGGACUGUUUUGUGCAUUAUAGAAUGUGUAGUAACAUCCCUGAUCUCUACCCAAUAGAGGCCAACCCUGACGCCAAAAACGUUUCUAGAUAUCACCAGUGAAGAUAAAAUUGCCCCCCUUCCCCCAGUGGAGAACCCCUGUUCUAAUGUCUUUCACUCUCUGCUCUCCCUGGUAAACUCCUACUCAUCUCCGAUGCCAACUUAUAAUGUCACUCUCCCACUCCAAAGCCUUCCCUGUCUUCUCCAUAGAGAAUUAAAAACCAAUUGCUUUGUCCUCUGUGCUCUCACGACCCUUUAUUCAUGUUUUUGUGUUAGUAUUUACUUAUUUUAUUAUAACUUAUCUGUCUAGUAGAUAGGAUCGAAGGAACCUGUCUUGAUCAUCCCUAGCCUCUAGCACAGAGUCUAGCACAUAGCUGAUUAAAAAUAUGGCUAACGAAUUAAGCAACAACACCUGAGUGAAUAAAUGCACUUGAAAAAGAA